rnacentral:tRNA from 1 species
GGGCGAGUGGUGGAAUGGCAGACACGCUAGUCUUAGGAACUAGUACCUUACGGUGUGAGAGUUCGACUCUCUCUUCGCCCACCA